rnacentral:rRNA from 1 species
AGUGAACGCUGGCGGUAGGCCUAACACAUGCAAGUCGAACGGCAGCACAGUAAGAGCUUGCUCUUACGGGUGGCGAGUGGCGGACGGGUGAGGAAUACAUCGGAAUCUACUUUUUCGUGGGGGAUAACGUAGGGAAACUUACGCCAAUACCGCAUACGACCUACGGGUGAAAGCAGGGGACCUUCGGACCUCGCGCGAUUGAAUGAGCCGAUGUCGGAUUAGCUAGUUGGCGGGGUAAAGGCCCACCAAGGCGACGAUCCGUAGCUGGUCUGAGAGGAUGAUCAGCCACACUGGAACUGAGACACGGUCCAGACUCCUACGGGAGGCAGCAGUGGGGAAUAUUGGACAAUGGGCGCAAGCCUGAUCCAGCCAUACCGCGUGGGUGAAGAAGGCCUUCGGGUUGUAAAGCCCUUUUGUUGGGAAAGAAAAGCAGCAGGUUAAUACCCCGCUGUUCUGACGGUACCCAAAGAAUAAGCACCGGCUAACUUCGUG